rnacentral:rRNA from 1 species
GUGGCUCGACUCACUCCAACCCAAUGUGAACGUUACCAAACUGUUGCCUCGGCGGGAUCUCUGCCCCGGGUGCGUCGCAGCCCCGGACCAAGGCGCCCGCCGGAGGACCAACCAAAACUCUUUUUGUAUACCCCCUCGCGGGUUUUUUAUAAUCUGAGCCUUCUCGGCGCCUCUCGUAGGCGUUUCGAAAAUGAAUCAAAACUUUCAACAACGGAUCUCUUGGUUCUGGCAUCGAUGAAGAACGCAGCGAAAUGCGAUAAGUAAUGUGAAUUGCAGAAUUCAGUGAAUCAUCGAAUCUUUGAACGCACAUUGCGCCCGCCAGUAUUCUGGCGGGCAUGCCUGUCCGAGCGUCAUUUCAACCCUCGAACCCCUCCGGGGGGUCGGCGUUGGGGAUCGGCCCUCCCUUAGCGGGUGGCCGUCUCCGAAAUACAGUGGCGGUCUCGCCGCAGCCUCUCCGGCGCAGUAGUUUGCACACUCGCAUCGGGAGCGCGGCGCGUCCACAGCCGUUAAACACCCAACUUCUGAAAUGUUGACCUCGGAUCAGGUAGGAAUACCCGCU